UCUCUGAUUCAGCGGCGGACGGGUGAGUAAUGCCUAGGAAUCUGCCUGGUAGUGGGGGACAACGUUUCGAAAGGAACGCUAAUACCGCAUACGUCCUACGGGAGAAAGCAGGGGACCUUCGGGCCUUGCGCUAUCAGAUGAGCCUAGGUCGGAUUAGCUAGUUGGUGAGGUAAUGGCUCACCAAGGCGACGAUCCGUAACUGGUCUGAGAGGAUGAUCAGUCACACUGGAACUGAGACACGGUCCAGACUCCUACGGGAGGCAGCAGUGGGGAAUAUUGGACAAUGGGCGAAAGCCUGAUCCAGCCAUGCCGCGUGUGUGAAGAAGGUCUUCGGAUUGUAAAGCACUUUAAGUUGGGAGGAAGGGCAGUAAGUUAAUACCUUGCUGUUUUGACGUUACCGACAGAAUAAGCACCGGCUAACUUCGUGCCAGCAGCCGCGGUAAUACGAAGGGUGCAAGCGUUAAUCGGAAUUACUGGGCGUAAAGCGCGCGUAGGUGGUUUGUUAAGUUGGAAGUGAAAGCCCCGGGCUCAACCUGGGAACUGCUUUCAAAACUGGCAAGCUAGAGUAUGGCAGAGGGUGGUGGAAUUUCCUGUGUAGCG
rnacentral:rRNA from 1 species